AUGCGGCAGGCUCGGACAGAUUCUGGUCGCCCUGAGCCAUGCUGGCGGCGGGGCGCCCCACUCCCUUCUCCCCUCUCCUCGGCUGACAACGAGACAGUGUGCAACACACAACUACCUAGGAGUCUAGGAAACAAGCGCUGCAUUCGGGUUAGAAACAAGGAUUACCUUCUAAAACAAGUUCAGACACCAGCAGAGAGACUCACCGUUCUCCUGAAAGCCCGGCUUGCUUCUCUGAGUAGUCAGCUGAGUGCUGCACCUGAUGCAUAUCCUGUAUCCCUUGCCCCAGAGGAGGAGGAGGAGGAGGAGGAGGAGAGCCCUGAAAGGAUGAUCCUCCUCCUCCUCCUCCCUGAAGGGACCAUCCUGCAGGAACUUAGCAGCGCUUGCUGCACCCCAGAACUCUCUUCCCUCCCUCCCUCCCUCCCUGAGCAUCCCACGAAGGGGUUCCCAGAGGCAGGUCUCUCCAUCAAGGGGGCCUCCUUAGGACCAGGCGGAAGGAGCGGGGCAGAGGCACCUCUGGGGAAACCAGAAGAGGCCAGCCUCAGAGAGCCACCUGAUCCUCCAAAGAAUCCGUUGGGCAACCCAGCUGCCGCCGCCUGGAGCCACAGAGACCUGCCACAUGAUCAAGAAGGGAGAGGCCAGGAAGUGGGUUGGCUUCCUGGCCAGAAGGAGGGCAUAAGAAGCCAGCUGGGCUCAGUCCGCCUCUCUGGCUGCUGCAGAGGGAGAGCAUCAGCGGAGCAGGGAGAGGAGCAGGAAGGAAGGAAGAGCCAGUAUGGGAGACCAAGCCACAAACUCACACUUACUACAACAACAGUGAACAUUGAUCUACUGUUUUCCCAUCUAAAUUCUCAAAGUGGUUUUCACAGAAAAAUAAAAGGGUGGAUCGAGGCUUCUCUGUCUCCAAAGGGCUCACACUCUAAAAAGAAAAAGGUGGGCGGCACCAGCAACCACCACUGGACAGAUGCUGUGCUGGGCCUUCUCUUCAAAGGCACAUGGAGCAGGAGAGGGGCCUUUUCUCUAACGUGGACCCACUAAAACAGGUACAGUUUUUUAACUUUAAUUCUCAGUUGGAAGCUGGGCGUGUGGGGCCCUCGAAAAUGUGGGCCUUUGGCAAAUGCUACAUGUGCUACUAUGUUCCUCCGCCAGAGCAGGGAGGCUUCGGAAGCCGCGUCUCCUGGUGCCAAGUCACUUCGGUUGGGGGAAGUCCCGAUACCACCGGCUCUGGGGGAGGAAUCUGCGGAAGCCGACCAGCAGCCGCUUGGCCUGCAGAAGCUUCCAGAAAAGGAAACCUUUGAUUUCAACAAAAGGCUCCAGAGACUUGCGUUUGCAUCCAUUGAUGAGAGAGGACUCCUUUGCCCAUCCCAAUUUAGGCCCUCAAAUUGGGGCUGAAUUGGCCUUCAGGGCUGGGGCUGCCAUCUGGGACCCCAAGUUCGAGCACUCCUGCCGUACAGCAAAACCCUUCUCCUGCCACUCUGUGGCCUUAAGCGGGGGUCCCAACCGUGGUGUGAAGGCCAUCCCGACAGGGUAGGAUGGUGAGCCCCCUUUUUUUGACCACAGUGUGCCCCAGACAGCUAGGCCGUGGGGCGUUUGGGGGUGAGACACACCAAAAGGGGGGUUAUUUUAGCAAAGGGGUAAGGAUAUGGGGAGCGGGGAGAGGUUAGACCACCACACCUUAAACCAAAUAUAAGCAAGCUAACUCGCCUGUUUGAGCAGAGAUUGCAUGUUGAGUCUCCAAGUUCCCCAGAAAGAUCCCUCAUAAAAUUACCAAUAGCUAGAUAAAGACCACAAUAAGAGAGAAAAUACUGUAUUGUGAAAUAUAUACAAUAUAACUCAAUUAGAUAUACAUAAUAUAGUGGUAUAUACCAUCCACAGAUUCCACAAUAGAAAUAAUCAUAAAGUCCACGGACUGUAUCUCAUGAACAGAGCACAUGAAGUCUAGAACCAAGUUGCUCGUAAAGCUGUCCACAUCCACUACGAUGACUCAGUGAACCUCGUUUCAAAAGAACUCUUUAUCAAGUGAUGGACUUAAAUCAAUUGUAUUCACACUUCUUGAUAUUAAUGGACUGGCGGUUUUGUUAAUUGUGGUAGAACCCUUCCUGUUUCAGUAAGAUUUGAGCUGAAGAAACACUCAGGAUUCUGCUACCUCUUCUGAUUAUUUCACAAGAAUGCCUUUGUAUAGAUAGAUGCAAAGCAAAUGUGAAUACACUGAUUUAAAUCCAUCAUCGCCUUCCCAUCUUGAAGAGUUUAUUUGGCAGAAAGGCAUAUUUCCCUAUUAUCUACAGAUACCAAAUUCCAUACACAAUCCUGCCACUUCAAUGAGCUGAAUGCACUAAUUUUUUGCACUGGAAUAUCCUGGGUGGAUUUAAAAUAAUAAUUCUGAUGUUUCAUUUCUUGAACUUUCCUACAAGUGUAAUCUAGGCAGAAUUACUUCUCCCAGUCAUUGAUGGGCUUCCCCUCCAAGUAAAAUAUUUUAAAAACCACAGAGGACCCAGCUCAAACAAAACAACAUUUUAUUUCCAAUUCAGUCUGCUGCAGAUAAAAUCAUACAUUACAAAUAUGUGCUUUAAAAGCACACAUGGUAGCAACUUCAGGAUACACAGGCCAACAAGAGAGUUCUUUACGCCCACGCAGGCCCCAAUCCAACACAGUUAAGCAGGCAAAAGCCUGACCAUUUCAAUGGUUUGAGUUUUUAUUGAAUUCUGUGCCAGAUUCUGCAGAGAGGGAGACACCGUUUAGAUCCGUGGGUUAAUUAAAAGCAUUGUGGGGAAGGAGAUCUGAUCUAACAUGGUAGUGCCACUUUUAAUCAUCAAAAAAGUUGCACUGUUGCAUCUAAGGGAGCAGCUCAGCUUUCUGGUAACUCAUUUCCAUCUCUUUGGAAGAGGGGAAAAUGGUCUCUAACAGUGUCUUGUCCAGCAGCUGAAUUUCCAGUCACUUCCCUCCCUUUCCUUCUCUCGUCUGCUCUGUAUCACGGGAUGUUCGCAGAGCCCCAAAAGGCUCUUUAGCAACCUGGUGGCCCAAAGAUCAGUCAAAUAUUCCAUAUCCCAGCAGCUCUCUUGUGGUAUUGAUGAAGCCACCAUCUGGGCAUUAAGGUUAAAAGGAGGUCCUUCGACAGAACGAUGCUAUAUGGGUUGGUUUAUCUUAAGGCUUGGGUUCCAAAACAAAUUGUACCGACAAACUACUUUUUAAAAAAACAUUUUAAAAUCACACACUUUUUCAUGAAGAAUAUUUACAACAGUCUGGGAGAAGGUGGAGGAAGAGGCAGAACUUGAACACUGGUGUCAAGGAAGUACCAGGGCAGAGAUCAAACCAAGAAGGAAGAUGUCUGUUUAAAUUCACCCUAGAAAACAGGGAGAGAGAGAGAGAGAAAGAGACUCAGUUCCAGAGAACAAGCAAAAGCUGGCCUUGUGGGAGUAGAGCAUGAAUGGCCCCCUCUGCUAAGCAGGGUCUGUCCUGGUUGGCAUUUGGAUGGACAACAACCUGGGGGCAGGGUAAGACGGCAAAACUGUCCGUCCCUAUGAGCCAAGCCGAAAUUUCUGGAUCCCUGCCCAAGGAGCCGCUUCCAAAAUGCCUCGCCACCCACUCACCGCUCCAAUCAACACCCCGAGGACAUGCUGGAAACCACGGGAGAUGUAAGCCCAGCGUCACUCCCAGCCCACGACUGCCACUGGCCACCCACAACAUCGUCGUCACACCCAACCCGGAUGCAAAGUUGUCACGACACUUUUCUGGGGGAAAGAAGAGGGAACGUCCUUGCUGGCUCCCUUCCUGUUCUACUUACGUCACUCCGGUUGGAAGGCUGGCUGUAAAUGACCUUCUUACUGCUGGUGCUAAACGGGAGGCGGAAAGAGACAGGGAAGUUAAAAGCCACAUUAUUCCAGGGAGGGAGGGAGAGAGAGAGAGAGAGAAAGAGAGAAAAGCCGUGUUCCCUCUAACGGGGAUUCCCAGAUGUUGUUGACUACAACUCCCAUAAUCCCCAGCCAAAGGCCAUUGCAACUGGGGAUGUUGGGAGUUGUAGUGAACAACAUCUGGGAAUCCCAGAUCUUCCCCUCAGGGGAUGGAGCUGCUCUGGGGAGAGCAGAAGGUCCCAAGUCCCCUCCCUGGCAGCAUCUCCAAGAGAGGGCUGAAAGAGAAAGACCCCUGCCUGCAACCUUGGAGAAGCUGCUGCCAGUCUGUGAAGACGAUACAGAGCUAGAUAGACCAAUGGUCUGACUCAGUAUGUGGCAGCUUCCUAUGUUCCUGCUAGAGGGAACAGUGGUGGAGGGUUCCUGGGGCGCCUCCCACCACCCUCUGGGAUUGGAAGAUUUCACUGGAGUCCCAGAUGGGUGCCGGCCCCAUACUCCUUCAGAGAUGCAUUUGGCAAGAAAGAAGGUGUUCAGUCUAGAAGAGAGGAUAACAUCAGCCCCAGAGCGCCUAAGCAGAGCCCGAAUAUAGCAGGGAUCAUUCUUUUCUCUCUCUCUCUCUCUCUCUCUCCAUCUCUGAAGCACUCACAGUGCUGUAAAGAUGUAACACAUAACCCUGCACCCCAAAAUCAAACCUUACAGAUCUAGAUUUGAUAUUACAAUUAUAUUUAUCAUUGUACCUUAUAGAUAUAAAACUAUUAUAUAUCGUCCUGUCCUUCAGGAGAGCCCUUAAAACCUAUCUGUUUGGCCUGGCCUUCCAGGGUUUUAAAUGAUUUAAAAAUUGUUCUAAAAUUGUUUUAAAGGGUUGCCCUGGUUCUCCACAGGUUUUUUAGCUGUUGAAUUCUUGAAUGGGUUUUAUUCUGUUCUUAUAGUUUUGAUUUUAACUGUUCACUGGUUUUGUUUUUACCUUGUUGAAAACCACCCUGAGCCACUUUGGAAGGGCAGUAUAUAAAUCGAAAGAUAAAACAAUCGGUAUAUAAAUCGAAAGAUAAAACAAAAAUAAAAUAAUAAAAAUAAAUAUUGCUCC